AACCGCAUGGUUUUGAUUUGAAAGGCGCUUUCGGGUGUCGCUGAUGGAUGGACCCGCGGUGCAUUAGCUAGUUGGUGAGGUAACGGCUCACCAAGGCCACGAUGCAUAGCCGACCUGAGAGGGUGAUCGGCCACAUUGGGACUGAGACACGGCCCAAACUCAUACGGGAGGCAGCAGUAGGGAAUCUUCGGCAAUGGACGAAAGUCUGACCGAGCAACGCCGCGUGAGUGAAGAAGGUUUUCGGAUCGUAAAACUCUGUUGUUAGAGAAGAACAAGGAUGAGAGUAACUGUUCAUCCCUUGACGGUAUCUAACCAGAAAGCCACGGCUAACUACGUGCCAGCAGCCGCGGUAAUACGUAGGUGGCAAGCGUUGUCCGGAUUUAUUGGGCGUAAAGCGAGCGCAGGCGGUUUCUUAAGUCUGAUGUGAAAGCCCCCGGCUCAACCGGGGAGGGUCAUUGGAAACUGGGAGACUUGAGUGCAGAAGAGGAGAGUGGAAUUCCAUGUGUAGCGGUGAAAUGCGUAGAUAUAUGGAGGAACACCAGUGGCGAAGGCGGCUCUCUGGUCUGUAACUGACGCUGAGGCUCGAAAGCGUGGGGAGCAAACAGGAUUAGAUACCCUGGUAGUCCACGCCGUAAACGAUGAGUGCUAAGUGUUGGAGGGUUUCCGCCCUUCAGUGCUGCAGCUAACGCAUUAAGCACUCCGCCUGGGGAGUACGACCGCAAGGUUGAAACUCAAAGGAAUUGACGGGGGCCCGCACAAGCGGUGGAGCAUGUGGUUUAAUUCGAAGCAACGCGAAGAACCUUACCAGGUCUUGACAUCCUUUGACCACUCUAGAGAUAGAGCUUCCCCUUCGGGGGCAAAGUGACAGGUGGUGCAUGGUUGUCGUCAGCUCGUGUCGUGAGAUGUUGGGUUAAGUCCCGCAACGAGCGCAACCCUUAUUGUUAGUUGCCAUCAUUCAGUUGGGCACUCUAGCAAGACUGCCGGUGACAAACCGGAGGAAGGUGGGGAUGACGUCAAAUCAUCAUGCCCCUUAUGACCUGGGCUACACACGUGCUACAAUGGGAAGUACAACGAGUUGCGAAGUCGCGAGGCUAAGCUAAUCUCUUAAAGCUUCUCUCAGUUCGGAUUGCAGGCUGCAACUCGCCUGCAUGAAGCCGGAAUCGCUAGUAAUCGCGGAUCAGCACGCCGCGGUGAAUACGUUCCCGGGCCUUGUACACACCGCCCGUCACACCACGAGAGUUUGUAACACCCGAAGUCGGUGAGGUAACCUU
rnacentral:rRNA from 1 species